rnacentral:rRNA from 1 species
UUUUUAGUGAUUCUAUACUAAAUAAGCCCUGCCCAACGUUAUUAAGUGGCCGCGGUACUAUAACCGUGCUAAGGUAGCAUAAUCAAUUGUUUAUUAAUUGUAAAAUUGAAUGAAAGGGUAAACAAAAUAAAGACUGUCUCUUAUAAAUUUAUGAAAAUUAUCCUUUUUAUGAAGAGAUAAAAAUAUAAUUAAAGGACAAGAAGACCCUAUAGAGCUUUAUUAUAAACUUAUUAAUUAAAAUAAAAUUUGGUUGGGGCGACCUAAGAUAAAAAUUAACAUCUUUUUUAUUAUAAGAGAUACAACUCAAUAUAAUGAUCCAAAAAUGAUCAACGAAUCAAGUUACCUUAGGGAUAACAGGCUAAUUGAAUUUAAGAGUUCUUAUCUAAAAUUCCGAUUGGCACCUCGAUGUUGGCUUAGGAACACUAUUAUUCGCAAAAGAAUAUAUAGUUGGUUUGUUCAACCAUUAAUAUCCU